rnacentral:rRNA from 1 species
CAAUAGCGUAUAUUAAAGUUGUUGCGGUAAAAAAGCUCGUAGUUGGACUUCUGUUGAGAGAUACCGGUCCAUGCAACGCAUGCGUAUUUGGUAAGUCUCGGCAUCCUCUCGAAAAACUUCUUUGCGCUUGAUUGCGUGAAAAGAGUUUCGGGACUUUUACUUUGAGGAAAUUAGAGUGUUCACGGCAGGCCGUCGCCAGGAUACAUUAGCAUGGAAUAAUACUAUAGGAUCUUGAUCCUAUUUUGUUGGUUUCUAGGAUUAAGAUAAUGAUUAAUAGGGACAAUUGGGGGCAUUCGUAUCAACACGUCAGAGGUGAAAUUCUUGGAUUGUGUUGCGACGAACUACUGCGAAAGCAUUUGCCAAGGAUGUUUUCAUUGA